CAGGACGACGCUGGCGGCGUGCUAACACAUGCAAGUCGAGCGAUGAAGCCCUUCGGGCUGAUUAGCGGCGGACGGGUGAGUAACACGUGGGUAACCUGCCUCAUAGAGGGGGAUAGCCUCCCGAAAGGGAGAUUAAUACCGCAUAACAUAUUUUGGUUGCAUGACCGAAAUAUCAAAGGAGUAAUCCGCUAUGAGAUGGACCCGCGGCGCAUUAGCUAGUUGGUGAGGUAAGGGCUCACCAAGGCGACGAUGCGUAGCCGACCUGAGAGGGUGAUCGGCCACAUUGGAACUGAGACACGGUCCAGACUCCUACGGGAGGCAGCAGUGGGGAAUAUUGCGCAAUGGAGGAAACUCUGACGCAGCCAACGCCGCGUGAAUGAUGAAGGCCUUAGGGUUGUAAAGUUCUGUCUUCUGGGACGAUAAUGACGGUACCAGAGGAGGAAGCCACGGCUAACUACGUGCCAGCAGCUGC
rnacentral:rRNA from 1 species